AGAAUUUCAUAUUUUUAGCUACGUGGGAAUAAACCCCAGAAACAACACGCUUCAAAAAUUCAAAUGACCUCGCAUUAUUACAAAAUCGGGAUAGUUAAAUUAGACCUCUUACACAUUGUUUUUCAUCUCAUAAAAAAAUCGGCUCCUCUCUCGAGCGGAAACGCCCCAAAUUCAAAGGAAAAUUCGGAAUUAUUUUGCCUCAGCCAUACUGUAGUGACACAUGUAUCAUAACCAUUGCAAGUCAGCCAUCUUAUGCAAACAACGUAUGCCAAAAUGGCCGAUUUGAUAUGAACUUUUGAUUUGUUUCUUCUGAUUUAGAUUUACAAAAAUAAGAAUGGCCAUGAGUAAAGCAGAACCUGAUGAGGACAGAACAAGAUUUUGCAGAUUAAGUUUAGUUAUUGUUGAAGAAUUACCACUGAUAUUACAAGAUGUACUGUAUAGAGAAGUAUCUCCUAAUUUGUUACUUCAUAUGGUUAUGAAACAUAAAAAAGGUCUUGAACAUUUAGGACCACAUCAGAUAAUUCAAGUGAACAAUGCAAAGGCCAGUGGUUACAGUGAGUUUGAUAUCACGCUGCUGUAUACCCUUUUACGCAACUACUUCAAAAAAAGUAUUCAACCUCCCACCAAGGGUUGGGGAAAACAAGAAAUGCCAGAACAGGGACAGGAAACAGAAGGUGAUGACAUAGAGCGCAUUCGUCUUAUUAGAAACAAACAUAACCACAGUGUGAUGGUCUCCAUUCCUGCAAUAUCCGAAACUGAAUUUAAUGAAAAAUGGGGAAUAAUUCACGCUGUUUGUGCACGAAUGCAGACUAGGUUACCAAAUAUUCAGCACAAUUAUGUCCAAAUGCUGGAAGAGUCCAAAAUAAGAACAAUUGAUUCAGACAUGGAAAAAACAUAUAUUGACAAGAUUAAAGAACUUGCUAAAGAAGAAAUGUCUGUCAAAACAUUACUACUGGAACUUGUCAAAGAAAAAGACCUUACAUCUAAAGAGAAGAUCACAAUUCAAGCCAGGAAAGACCAUAAGAAAGAUGUUGUGAAAUCAUUUACUGAUGUUUCUAUUCGUAUUUUUAAUGAAAUGGUGGAUCCGACUUACAGAUUGACAUCAAAAUCAGAAUUAGAGAAACUAUAUAAAGCAACACAAAAAUUCCUAAAGGAACACAAAAAGGACAUUGAAGAUGAUCAACUACAAGUUUUGUUAAAAAGACUGGAAGAAAAAAUUAAGGCUUAUGCAAACCUGGAUGAGAAGAACAGAACAAAUAUUUUGAGCAAAUUUUUAAACUUUAACCUAAAAAUGAAGAAAAAAUACGGUGCCAGUAUGUCUUGCUCAAAUGGGAGCAUUAUCCUUUCAGUAACAUUUUCCUCAAAGGAAUGUUAUAGCCACUACAAAAAAGACCUUGAUAGAGGAAUCAUUGGAGAAGAAAUUCUGCAGAUCAUUCUAUAUCCGCCUUAUCUAGCCAGUUUUGAUUUAACAGCCGAAGAUUUGAUUGUAUGUUUGAAUGACCAUGAACUUACAGAGGAUAACAGAGGUGACAAGUCAGCAUACAGUUUAUCAUCUGACCUUGAGACAUGUGCCAACCAUCCAGACCAGUACUACACGUUGGCAUGUCAGCAAUGCCAACUUCCUGUCUGUGUGUUAUGUAUUGAAAUAUCUGAACACAAAAAUCACAGCUUUAUCGGCCUCAAUGUUAUGUUGCAGGACAAAUUGUCCUGGAUUAAUGAUGAAAUCAAACGGGGUCACACAUUUGAAGAACAAAUGAAGUUGGAAAAAAGCACUUUAGUCAAACAUAUCAGCGAUAUAGAGUUAAGAAUGAAAGUAAAACACCAAUCUCUAAAAGAUCAGCUUGAUGACGUUUUAAAAAGGAAUGUAGAAGGACUUAAGAAACAUCAAGAAUCACACGUGGAUGUGAUUGAUGAACAUCUUAAUGAUGCAGAGCAACAUGUCUCUUUUUUAGAGAAAAAUCUAAUUGAUGCCGCUAAAUGCCAACCUGCACAGGCACUCAUUCUUUUGAGUUCAUCACGCAGCUCUCUUGAAAAGGAUUUGUUCAAAACAUACAAGGUCGACAAACCAAGUUUUGAUGAAAGGAAAAAAGAAUUCAGAACAAUUAGCAACAUUUUUGGAAAGCUCUCUGCCUUUUCUAGCGAAGAAAGCGGAUCUAGUGAUGAUGAGGAAGAUUCAGAUUUUGAAUAUUCAAAACACACCAGGUCCAAAGAUUCGGCUAUUGUAAUGGACGAUCGGUUUAUAAGGAGCAAAAGGUUUUCCGAUCCCCUUUCUCCUUUUUCUUCCAUGGUAGACAAACUAGACGAUUCUUUUGACGAUUAGAAGAGAUUAGUUCAGAACGGGUUAGCUGAGACGAGCAGACAGGGAAUGGAAUACCAAUGACAGGAUAUGUAGCUGCCAUUUCCAAGAUGGAAACAAGGAGUUGGGCCCUACUGUUUUUUCAUACAGCAAGAUUGUAGGUCAUUUCCCAGAGAUACUAACAACAAAAAGGAAACGGUUAAGCAGUUCUUUAAACCCCCCUGAAACAACUACAUGUACUCCCCUUGAUCCAGUUCUAGAUCACAGCUAUUGUGACACAAGUGCUGACUGCCAAGCACACUCCAAGGAUCAGUCUAAAGAAGUAUCAGUCUUGGAGAAGCAGAUUGCUAAGCUACAAGAAGAAGUUACACGAUUAAAGCUACAGAAGCCAAAAAUGUCGAUUAGCGACAUAAUAGAUCAUACUGAAAAGGUGAGUUACAUAAAUGUGGAUAUAUUAGUAAAUAUAGACUUUACAACAUGUUCAAUUAGUGUGCUGAUAAUGAAACAUGUUAUUAUGCUUAAUUAACACAAUAUCUCCUUGUACAUAAAUAUUUGAACCUGAAGGGAUACCAAUACAUUUAAUCUUUGUUUUAUAUUAAAUAUAAAGAUUUACAAAUAAAGAAAGAUAAAAACUCAUAUUUAGUG